UCAAAUCGCAGCUGCUGACUGCCGACCGGCGGAACCGGCCGAACCACCGGACAAGGCUGACUUACAGCAGCACCAGCAGCGAGGUGCACGGGGCGGACAGCGCUGCUGUCCCGCGGGGAGUUGCAGCAGGAUGAUGCGGCCGGCUGACCGAUCAGCAGAUACCGAGAGGCAGUUCUCUUAAAGGAGCCCUCAGAUUUAAAUGGCCUGCGUCUCUGCAGCGCCAAGAGCGCCAGGUGAGAGCAGGUGAUGGAGUGUGACCCACAGACUGGAAAGAUGCUGGACCUUUUGACCAGAAUCAGGUCUGAUCCCGCUGACGUCUGCUGGCUCCCCAAGUGACUCUUUGGACCUUCCACAAUAACUUUGCCUAAAUU